UAGGGGAGCCUAACAGGGGGUUACGGGAAUAUCCUGAGGAAACUCCAGCCUCCAAGCCUCAUGGGAGCAGUUAGAUCUGCAGGGUUAGUGCUCUGGCUACUGCACAGAAACGUAACCGGUAUAAUAGGAUAUGAAAAUGAGUUUAUAUGUAGUCUAGGUAACUAGGCUACAUAAAUGAGACCUAUUAUACCGGCUGAAACGGCAGUCCUCCCAGGAGCAAGUAAGGAGGGGAUGAGUUGAGGUUCAACCCUCCUAAGGACGCUUAGUAGAAUCCCCCUAAAUACAAAAGCUGGGUUAUUGUUAGGCUCCCCUUAU
rfam:Sulfolobus acidocaldarius ribonuclease P RNA sequence.